rnacentral:rRNA from 1 species
AUACGUAGGGUGCAAGCGUUAAUCGGAAUUACUGGGCGUAAAGCGUGCGCAGGCGGUUCGGAAAGAAAGAUGUGAAAUCCCAGGGCUUAACCUUGGAACUGCAUUUUUAACUGUAGAACUCGAGUAUGUCAGAGGGGGGUAGAAUUCCACGUGUAGCAGUGAAAUGCGUAGAGAUGUGGAGGAAUACCGAUGGCGAAGGCAGCCCCCUGGGAUAAUACUGACGCUCAUGCACGAAAGCGUGGGGAGCAAACAGGAUUAGAUACCCUGGUAGUCCACGCCCUAAACGAUGUCAACUAGCUGUUGGGGCCUUCGGGCCUUAGUAGCGCAGCUAACGCGUGAAGUUGACCGCCUGGGGAGUACGGUCGCAAGAUUAAAACUCAAAUGAAUUGACGGGG